AACAGGAUUAGAUACCCUGGUAGUCCACGCCGUAAACGGUGGGUACUAGGUGUGGGUUUCCUUCCUUGGGAUCCGUGCCGUAGCUAACGCAUUAAGUACCCCGCCUGGGGAGUACGGCCGCAAGGCUAAAACUCAAAGGAAUUGACGGGGGCCCGCACAAGCGGCGGAGCAUGUGGAUUAAUUCGAUGCAACGCGAAGAACCUUACCUGGGUUUGACAUGCACAGGACGACGGCAGAGAUGUCGUUUCCCUUGUGGCCUGUGUGCAGGUGGUGCAUGGCUGUUGUCAGCUCGUGUCGUGAGAUGUUGGGUUAAGUCCCGCAACGAGCGCAACCCUUGUCUCAUAUUGCCAGCGCGUAAUGGCGGGGACUCGUGAGAGACUGCCGGGGUCAACUCGGAGGAAGGUGGGGAUGACGUCAAGUCAUCAUGCCCCUUAUGUCCAGGGCUUCACACAUGCUACAAUGGCCGGUACAAAGGGCUGCGAUGCCGCGAGGCUUAGCGAAUCCUUUAAAGCCGGUCUCAGUUCGGAUCGGGGUCUGCAACUCGACCCCGUGAAGUCGGAGUCGCUAGUAAUCGCAGAUCAGCAACGCUGCGGUGAAUACGUUCCCGGGCCUUGUACACACCGCCCGUCACGUCAUGAAAGUCGGUAACACCCGAAGCCAGUGGCCUAACCCUUGUGGGGGGAGCUGUCGAAGGUGGGAUCGGCGAUUGGGACGAAGUCGUAACAAGGUAGCCGUA
rnacentral:rRNA from 1 species